rnacentral:rRNA from 1 species
UGGUUUAAUUCGAAGCAAACGCGAAGAACCUUACCAAAUCUUGACAUCCUUUGACAACUCUAGAGAUAGAGCUUUCCCCUUCGGGGGACAAAGUGACAGGUGGUGCAUGGUUGUCGUCAGCUCGUGUCGUGAGAUGUUGGGUUAAGUCCCGCAACGAGCGCAACCCUUAAGCUUAGUUGCCAUCAUUAAGUUGGGCACUCUAAGUUGACUGCCGGUGACAAACCGGA